rnacentral:rRNA from 1 species
GUCCUUUUGACUUAUUUAGAAGGUCUGGCCUGCCCAGUGAAUUUAAUUAAACGGCCGCGGUAUUUUGACCGUGCAAAGGUAGCAUAAUCAUUAGUCUUUUAAUAGGGGGCUGGAAUGAAGGGUUUAACGAAACAUAAACUUUCUUAUUUAUAUAAAUUGAAUUUAACUUUUAAGUUAAAAGGCUUAAAUAUUUUUGGAGGACGAGAAGACCCUAUAGAGCUUUACAAUCAUCAUUUUUCUUUUAUUUAGUUAAAUUUAAUGUUUAAGAAAGCAUGAUUUUUGUUUUGUUGGGGUGACAAAAAUAUAUAAUUAACUUUUAUUAUAAUUUUAACAUUAAUUUAUGGGUUGUUGGAUCCAAUAUUAUUGAUCAUUAGAUUAAGUUACCUUAGGGAUAACAGCGUAAUCUUCUUUCAAAGUUCAAAUUUACAAGAAGGAUUGCGACCUCGAUGUUGGAUUAAGAUUAUUAUUAGGUGCAGUAGCUUAAUAAAUAGGUCUGUUCGACCUUUAAAUUCUUACAUGAUCUGAGUUCAGACCGG